GUGACUUGCCCACAGUCACACCCCCUGUGGGACUCGGAGUCUAAGGAGGAAGGCGGUCGGGGGUCACCGAAUGACCAUUUGCAGUGGAAGAAACUGAGGCACGGAGAAGGAAAAAUGAACUCUAUGAGUACCGGGCUCACACUUGUAAGAGGGAAGCGAUCCUAUGACUUAGAGUUUACGUGACAAUACCGGAGGGGUCAGAAAGAUAUCACAGGAUCCUGACUCCAGCUCGAUUCACCAGCAGUGGGGAAAGGAUCAUCGCUAGGAGGUUCCAGAGCUUCAACUCGAAUCUCACCGACUUUUGACACGACCCCUUCAACAUCUGCCGGAACAUUUUGGGAAGGCAGCAAA